GAUGAACGCUGGCGGCGUGCCUAAUACAUGCAAGUCGAGCGAACGGACGAGAACCUUCCUUCUCUGAUGUUAGCCGCAGACGUGUGAGUAACACGUGGAUCCCCUCCCUCUCAGACUGGUAUACCUUCGAGAACCCGGCGCUUAUACCGGAUAAUCUUUUGAAGCACAGGGUUCAAAGGUGAGAGACGGUCUUGCUGUCACUUAUAGAUGGAUCCGCGCUGCUUUAGCUAGUUGGUAAGGUAACGGCUUACCCAGGCAACGAUGCAUAGCCGACCUGAGAGGGUGAUCGGCGACACGGGAAGUGAGACACGCUCCAGAGGACUAAGGGAGGGAGCAGUAGGGAACCGGACGCAAUGGGCGAAAGCCUUACGGAGCAACGCCGCGUGUGAGACGAAGGUGUUGGGAGCGUAAAGCUCUGUUACUAGGUGAGAACAUAUGUGUAAGUAAAUGUGCACAUCGUGACGGUACCUAAACAGAAAGCCACGGCUAACUACGUG
rnacentral:rRNA from 1 species